ACCCUGGGACCAGUGUUAUCUGGAGAGUGAGAGAGAGAGAGAGAGCGCGCGCGCGCGACUGAGCUGUUUAUCUUGGAGACAAGCUGACGAAGUCGUGACAGGGCAAAGGCCCUGUGGUGUCGGCAGCGCGUGAUGGAGAUCCUUCCGCGGGAGGCUGCGGAGCACCUGGGCUAGGAAGGCAGACGAUCUUCUGCAAAUAAACUACACACACGGCUAGAAGAACUACUCUCCUUUAUGCGUGCACACAGAGAGCUGGCAGUGCACAUAGGCACAUGCUGUUUCCAUGAGUGAUAAUUACCAUAUUUUUUUAUUAGAAACUAUCAAGUCGCACACUAGUACGACGCGGCAGACUGUGGGUAUGCUGGGAGGGGAUUUUCUCACUCUGAUAUUUAUAUAAUCUGUUUAGACUGUGUCACUCGAUGCUUAUUGGGGGAAUGAAUGAGCAUUUCACUGUGCAAUGGUGCCACCCAUGAAUU